rnacentral:rRNA from 1 species
GACGAACGCUGGCGGCGUGCCUAAUACAUGCAAGUAGAACGCACAGUUUAUACCGUAGCUUGCUACACCAUAAACUGUGAGUUGCGAACGGGUGAGUAACGCGUAGGUAACCUGCCUGGUAGCGGGGGAUAACUAUUGGAAACGAUAGCUAAUACCGCAUAAUAUUGAUUAUUGCAUGAUAAUUGAUUGAAAGAUGCUAUUGCAUCACUACCAGAUGGACCUGCGUUGUAUUAGCUAGUAGGUGAGGUAACGGCUCACCUAGGCGACGAUACAUAGCCGACCUGAGAGGGUGAUCGGCCACACUGGGACUGAGACACGGCCCAGACUCCUACGGGAGGCAGCAGUAGGGAAUCUUCGGCAAUGGACGAAAGUCUGACCGAGCAACGCCGCAUGAGUGAAGAAGGUUUUCGGAUCGUAAAGCUCUGUUGUAAGAGAAGAACGGGUGUGAGAGUGGAAAGUUCACACUGUGACGGUAUCUUACCAGAAAGGGACGGCUAACUACGUG